UACGGAGGGUGCAAGCGUUAUCCGGAUUCACUGGGUUUAAAGGGUGCGUAGGCGGGCAGGUAAGUCCGUGGUGAAAUCUCUGAGCUUAACUCAGAAACUGCCAUGGAUACUAUUUGUCUUGAAUAUUGUGGAGGUGAGCGGAAUAUGUCAUGUAGCGGUGAAAUGCUUAGAUAUGACAUAGAACACCAAUUGCGAAGGCAGCUUGCUACACAGUUAUUGACGCUGAGGCACGAAAGCGUGGGGAGCAAACAGG
rnacentral:rRNA from 1 species